UGUAUGUAUAUAUAUAUAUAUAUAUAUAUGUAUAUGUAUAUAUGUGUUUUUUCUUCUUUGUUUUUAUCUUUUCUUUUUUUUUAGCACCACCCAUGCGCCCCAAAAUACCUGUGUCCAUUCCUAAAGAGUUGAUGUUCCUUGUAAAAGAUACGACAAAAGUGGAGAGAACGGAUUCAACUACAGGAGACAGCAGCACUAUAGACACCUCUCGAGUGUGCAGGACACUUACUUUUGAGGAGUGUGGCAAAAGCAAAGAUCUCUCUUCUUCAGCAACCACUACAUAUAGUCUCCAACAGACAGCUGAGGCAUCACAUGGAACCCUCCCACCUUCUGAAUCCUCCUCUUCCCCUCAUACACCCGAGCCACCACACAGUGGUCCUUCUGUUUUUGUUCCCCCACUGACACUCAGAUCAUCCCCUCAUACACCUGAGACACCACACAGUAAGAUGUUUUUAUAACUACUCUGAAGGUUUUACUAUGGCCAAAAUAUGUUUUAAUUUAUUAUACAAUCUGUGAUGAUAAUACAAUGUGUGAAAAUGACUACAUAUCACAAAUUAUGUUUUUGUGUUUCAUCCUUGUUCCCACAGUUUUUGUUGCCCCACCGGCACAGAGACCAGAUCAGGAUAUAAGCACUUGGACCUGUUCUUAUCAUCAGAAAGUGUGGAUGAAGACAGAGCUCCAAUCUCUGGGACUGUGGCCUGGGUCCCACCAUAUGCUCAAGCCAGGAAACGCCCUUUCAUUAUGGCGCCUCCCUCCACAGCCAGAACUCAUUGACACUGUGUUAGCACUCCCAUCCCGCAAUUUCUUUCAGCUCCAUCCAUUUUUUAUUUGGAAACCAGAAAGUGACGUCAUGGUGAGACUAAGAAAUAAUUAUAUACUCCCAUGUCUUCAUGGUUGUCCAAAGCCAGAUAUAGUCUCAGCUGGUGUGGGGGUAAGUUAAUACCAAUUUCCAAAACCAUCAUUUUAAAUAUCAUUGUAAAUGA
rnacentral:lncRNA from 1 species